rnacentral:ncRNA from 1 species
GUUGAAAAAUUGAGUAUUUCUUUUAAUUACAUGUAAAUUUAUGUAUGAAAUUAAAAUUUAUUUUAAAAAUAUUAAUGAUUUUUAUUUGCAGUAAAUAAACUUAAAUUCUUAAAGAAAUUUAGAUUUAGGGAUAGAUAAAAUAUUAACAAAAUUUGUGCCAGCAGUUGCGGUUAUACAAAUAAUGUAAUUUAAUUUUUUUAGUAAAAGUUAAUUUUUAUUAAAUUUUUAUUUUAAUAUAAUAUUUAUUAGGUGAAAUUUUAAAUUUUAUAUAAAAUUAUAAAUUAUUAAAUGAGGCUUAGAAAUUUAUUUUUAAACUAGGAUUAGAUACCCUAUUAUUGUAAAUAUAAAUUUAAAAUACUAAAUUAGUAUUAGUUAUUUUCUUGAAAAUUAAAAAAUUUGGCGGUAUUUUAGUCUUUUCAGAGGAACCUGUCCUGUAAUUGAUAGUCCACGAUUAUAUAUACUUUAGUUUUAAGUUUACAUAUCGUUGUAGGUUGAAUAUUUUAAUAGAAUUUAAAUGUUCAGAAUUUUUUAAUAAAAAAUAAAUCAGAUCAAGGUGUAGCUUAUAUUUAAGAAGUGGUGGGUUACAUUGAAGUUAUUUUAGGAUAAUUUUUUAUAAAAAGAUUUGAAUAUGGAUUUGAUAGUAAUUUAAUAUAUUUAUUUUAAAUGAUUAUUAGCUCUAAAGUAUGUACAUAUCGCCCGUCGCUUUCAUUUUAAAAUGAAAUAAGUCGUAACAAAGUAGGCGUACUGGAAAGUGUGCCUAGAAAGAC